rnacentral:rRNA from 1 species
GAACGCGAAGAACCUUACCUGGUCUUGACAUGUACGGAAUCCUCCAGAGACGGAGGAGUGCCUUCGGGAGCCGUAACACAGGUGCUGCAUGGCUGUCGUCAGCUCGUGUCGUGAGAUGUUGGGUUAAGUCCCGCAACGAGCGCAACCCUUGUCAUUAGUUGCCAUCAUUUAGUUGGGCACUCUAAUGAGACUGCCGGCGACAAGCCGGAGGAAGGUGGGGAUGACGUCAAGUCCUCAUGGCCCUUAUGACCAGGGCUUCACACGUCAUACAAUGGUCGGUACAGAGGGUAGCCAAGCCGCGAGGUGGAGCCAAUCUCACAAAACCGAUCGUAGUCCGGAUUGCACUCUGCAACUCGAGUGCAUGAAGUCGGAAUCGCUAGUAAUCGCAGGUCAGCAUACUGCGGUGAAUACGUUCCCGGGUCUUGUACACACC